rnacentral:rRNA from 1 species
UACGGAGGGUGCAAGCGUUAUCCGGAUUCACUGGGUUUAAAGGGUGCGUAGGCGGGUAGGUAAGUCAGUGGUGAAAUCUCCAAGCUUAACUUGGAAACUGCCGUUGAUACUAUCUAUCUUGAAUAUCGUGGAGGUGAGCGGAAUAUGUCAUGUAGCGGUGAAAUGCUUAGAGAUGACAUAGAACACCAAUUGCGAAGGCAGCUUACUACACAACGAUUGACGCUGAGGCACGAAAGCGUGGGGAUCAAACAGG